rnacentral:rRNA from 1 species
UACAGAGGUCCCGAGCGUUGUUCGGAUUCACUGGGCGUAAAGCGUGCGCAGGCGGUGAUGUAAGACCGGUGUGAAAUCCCCGGGCUUAACCUGGGAACUGCAUUUGUGACUGCAUUGCUGGAGUGCGGCAGAGGGGGAUGGAGUUCCGCGUGUAGCAGUGAAAUGCGUAGAUAUGCGGAGGAACACCGAUGGCGAAGGCAAUCCCCUGGGCCUGCACUGACGCUCAUGCACGAAAGCGUGGGGAGCAAACAGG